rnacentral:rRNA from 1 species
AUUGAACGCUGGCGGCGUGCCUAACACAUGCAAGUCGAGCGGUAACAGGUGUAGCAAUACAUGCUGACGAGCGGCGGACGGGUGAGUAACGCUUGGGAAUCUGCCUAUUAGUGGGGGACAACCCGGGGAAACUCGGGCUAAUACCGCAUACGCUCUACGGAGGAAAGCCGGGGACCGCAAGGCCUGGCGCUAAUAGAUGAGCCCAAGUCGGAUUAGCUAGUUGGUAGGGUAAUGGCCUACCAAGGCGACGAUCCGUAACUGGUCUGAGAGGACGACCAGUCACACCGGAACUGAGACACGGUCCGGACUCCUACGGGAGGCAGCAGUGGGGAAUAUUGGACAAUGGGCGAAAGCCUGAUCCAGCGACGCCGCGUGGGUGAAGAAGGCCUGCGGGUUGUAAGGCCCUUUCAGUGGGGAAGAAAAGCCUCGACCUAACACGUCGGGGUCUUGACGUAACCCAUAGAAGAAGCACCGGCUAACUCUGUGCCAGCAGCCGC